UGAGAAUCAUUUCUUUAUUGUUUGAUAUUGUUGGUGAAUACUCUCUUCUGUCCUAAAUAUAAUUUGGACCAUAUACAUCAAAUUUUGUUGACCAAGCUUUCUGUAUAUUUAAGACCAGAGAGAUUACUUAUUAGAAUUGAAUGAUUUACCGCACACAUUGAAAGAGUUAAGUAGCUAAUACUCAUUAUAGACAUGCUUAUUAACUAUUCUUGUAAUUAAUACUUGCAACCACAACCUAAGCCUUUUCCAAUUAGGUUUUGUAAUUCAUACUCUAAAUUGUUUAAAUUCCUAUCUAUGUGGGUAAUUCAUCUGUCACAUCUGUAUUAAGUUUCACUGUGUUGUGUCAUGAUUUGAAGAGUUAUACUUGUUUCUUUUGUAGUUGGUAAACACUGGUAAGGAAAGAGCUAAAGUCAGCCUUUUAUUUACUUGGGCGAAUUCCAUUGAUGGAAACUCUCACUUGUCAGGAGAUCAUGUGAAUGACCCAUUCAUAGCUGAAGAUGGUGUCCUCGGAGUACUUCUAUAUCACAAGCAAGUUAACAAACUUUAUAGCUAUAUAUGAUGGUUGGUUUGCAGAUUUCUCUUUGUAGGUUACUAGCAAAUGCUUAAAAACUCAAUGAGUUCAGGGUUCUGAAAUGUCUAAGUAAAGGAGCUUUGCUUAUCCUUAUGAACAAACUAAGUUUGAUAUAAACUUGAAAGAUUCUUAGUCUAACUAUUAAAGUAUAUUUUUAAUCAUCCCCUGGUUUUUUGUGUUACAGGUCAAUCCUAGUGAAUUUAUUCUUUUAGAAUCAAAUCAAAGAUUUUAAUAUUAGAUCUAGCUGUAUAGCACAAAACAUAAAGCUAAAACAUGAGUAUUCAUACUCUUUUAUAUCUUGUCCUGCCUGUAAAAGAUAGGUAAUUCAUCAGCAAUGAAAAAACUUUUUACAACUUGAUUGAGUCAGUUGCAUAGAUUAUUUUAUAUUAAUGAUUAAUUGCAUGCUUGGAAGGGCAUUUUGAUCAUUAAUACAUAGGAUUGUUUUAGUUUAAGAGA